CGGGCCCAGGCGCCGCUCUGCAGGACGCGGGAACGGGACCGCACGGAGCCGCCGCCGCCGGCAGCGAGGCCGCCAGGACUUCACGUCUAUCCCGGUCCCUCGGCUGCGGGGAACGCGGGCACCGUUCGGCCCGGAGCGGCUGCGAGACCGGGACGCGGCUUUGCCAGCGCAAGGCCGGGCCUUUUGUGUCUAAAAGGAAGGGUUGGCGCUGUGAGGCUGCGUGUGCCCCGCAGAAGUGGGUGCGAAACCUGUCUGGGUCUCGUUUUAGCCCUGGGGAAAUCGAGGCGGAAAGCGUUUUUCCAAGCUCUUUUACCAAAGCAGGGGAAAAAGCUGCAGAUAGGAGACCGAUCCUCUUACUCUCCGUCCAGUGCCUGAUUGAGUAAACCGCACUGGCAGGCAGAACGGUCCAAUACAGACGUGUGCAGAACCAUUUUACAAGAGCAAGCAGAGAGCCAAGUGAGCGCAGUUUGGAGCACAGCGUGCUCCCGGCUGCCUUCUGACGGCCGCGAGCAGUCUGAGCCGAGCAGCCGCCGAGCUCCGCUCCCCAUCUCUGCAUGCAGGGACGGUGACUGAAGUUUGCCUUGGUUUAUUUACUUUGCACGAUACGGCGCAACUGUCAGAGUACAAAGGCGACAGGGAAUCUGCGCUCUGAAGCCAGAGGGGACCGUGUUUAAAUUUCUGAAAGAGACGUGCUCAGAACCAGGGAAUCCAGGCAUUUUCAGAAUCGCGGGUAUCUCCUGGCAGAUCAGUGAGAUCAGAGGUGCAUCAUGCUAAGCACUGUGUGGACACAGCUCCUCACUGCAGCCUAAUGCAAAGCAUGGAGAGGUAGAAGAGGGGCAAAGAUUAAAGAAGAUAAUGCCAGAAGUCAACAGUUGCAUCACUGAACAAGGCACUGCUGGUAGUGUGCUGGAAGUGAGCUGGAGAGGAGAAUGAGAGCAGUGGUGUCUGUGUGUGGGCAGGCGGGGGGAGCACAGAGCUGCUUUGGAGGACCUUGGGGCGAGAUGUGACCUUGCCUGAAAGUUUGAAAUAAGUGAAGCAAUGUUGCAGUGAAGGCUGUGAAAUAGAGAAGUAAAAUUGAAAUUUAUUUCUGAG